rnacentral:rRNA from 1 species
CAUGUAGGCGGUUGCUUAAGUCGGACGUGAAAGCUCCUGGCUCAACUGGGAGAGGCCGUUCGAAACUAGGUAACUUGAGGAUGGUAGAGGAGAGUGGAAUUCCCGGUGUAGUGGUGAAAUGCGUAGAUAUCGGGAGGAACACCAGUGGCGAAGGCGGCUCUCUGGGCCAUUCCUGACGCUGUGAUGCGAAAGCUAGGGGAGAGAACG